AGGGCAGUAGCUCAGUUGGAAGAGCAUCGGUCUCCAAAACCGAGUGUCGGGGGUUCGAGUCCCUCCUGCCCUG
rnacentral:tRNA from 1 species